rnacentral:rRNA from 1 species
GAAGUUUGGACAAUGGGCGAAAGCCUGAUCCAGAAAUGCCGCGUGCAGGAUAAAGGCCUUCGGGGUGUAAACUGCUUUCGUACGGAACGAAAAGCUUUGGGUUAAUACCCUGGAGUCAUGAAGGUACAGUAAGAAUAAGCACAGGCUAACUACGUGCCAGCAGACGGGGGAAUACGUAGGGUGCAAGCGUUGAUCGGAAUUACGGGGCGUAAAGCGUGCGCAGGCGGUUUUGUAAGACAGAGGUGAAAUCCCCGGGCUCAACCUGGGAGCUGCCUUUGUGACUGCAAGGCUAGAGUACGGCAGAGGGGGGUGGAAUUCCGCGUGUAGCAGUGAAAUGCGUAGAUAUGCGGAGGAACACCGAUGGCGAAGGCAACCCCCUGGGCCUGUACUGACGCUCAUGCACGAAAGCGUGGGGAGCAAACA